CAGUAUACACACUGGAAUUGUAUUUCUAGUGAUUGGAAUGAUGGGAAUCCAAACCCCUUUCAGAGUAACAAUUGGAGGGCAAGUCUGGUGCCAGCAGCCGCGGUAAUUCCAGCUCCAAUAGCGUAUAUCAAAGUUGUUGCAGUUAAAAAGCUCGUAGUUGGAUAUCUGCUGGAAGCAAUCAGUCCGCCCUUUUCGUAAGGGUGUGCACUUGAUGAAUUCUGGCAUGAUUUCAUCCUAAUAAUAAUAUAUUAUUAUAUGAUGUUGAUUCCUAGUCUAAUAAUAUUUAUUAUUAUGGGGAUGACAGUUACGUUGAGAAGAUUACAGUGUAUGAAGCAAGAUUUUGUUGCCUUGAAUACUGCAGCAAGGAAGAACAAUAUAGGAUUUAGGAUCUAUUAUUUUGAUGGUUUUUUCUGUAAGACUGAAAUAAUGAUUAAUAGGGACAGUUGGGGGAAAUCGUAUUCAACUAUCAGAUGUGAAAUUCUUAGAUUUGAUAAAGACUAACUACUGCGAAAACAUUUGCCGAAGAUGUUUUCAUUAAUCCACAACGAAUGUUAUGGGCUCGGUUACGAUCAUAUACCGUCCUAGUCUUAACCAUACACUAUGCCGACUAGAGAUACUCAAGACGUCACCUUGUUGACAUUCUCAUGCAC
rnacentral:rRNA from 1 species